GUUGAUAUAUUGCUGAUAAUCAGUUUAGAUUGUUCUGGUUUUUGUCUCUUUUGUCAGGUUUUAUAAAUGGAUGCAUUCAUUUGUAUUACUGCAUAAAA